rnacentral:rRNA from 1 species
UACAGAGGGUGCGAGCGUUGUCCGGAAUCACUGGGCGUAAAGGGUGCGUAGGCGGUUUGGUAAGUCUGAUGUGAAAUCUAUGGGGCUCAACCCAUAGUCUGCAUCGGAAACUGUCGGGCUUGAGUAUGGGAGAGGUGAGUGGAAUUUCCGGUGUAGCGGUGAAAUGCGUAGAUAUCGGAAGGAACACCUGUGGCGAAAGCGGCUCACUGGACCAUUACUGACGCUGAGGCACGAAAGCUAGGGGAGCAAACAGG